AUUGAACGCUGGCGGCAGGCUUAACACAUGCAAGUCGAGCGGAGAGAGGUAGCUUGCUACUGAUCUUAGCGGCGGACGGGUGAGUAAUGCUUAGGAAUCUGCCUAUUAGCGGGGGACAACAUUUCGAAAGGAAUGCUAAUACCGCAUACGUACUACGGGAGAAAGCAGGGGAUCGUCAGACAUUUCGCUAAUGGAGGAGCCUAGGUCGGAUUAGCUAGUUGGUGGGGUAAAGGCCAACCAAGGCGACGAUCUGUAGCGGGUCUGAGAGGAUGAUCCGCCACACUGGGACUGAGACACGGCCCAGACUCCUACGGGAGGCAGCAGUGGGGAAUAUUGGCCAAUGGGCGCAAGCCUGAUCCAGCCAUGCCGCGUGUGUGAAGAAGGCCUUAUGGUUGUAAAGCACUUUAAGCGAGGAGGAGGCUACUUUAGUUAAUACCUAGAGAUAGUGGACGUUACUCGCAGAAUAAGCACCGGCUAACUCUGUGCCAGCCGCCGCAGUAACAC
rnacentral:rRNA from 1 species